rnacentral:rRNA from 1 species
GACGAACGCUGGCGGCGUGCUUAACACAUGCAAGUCGAACGGAAAGGCCCUGCUUUUGUGGGGUGCUCGAGUGGCGAACGGGUGAGUAACACGUGAGUAACCUGCCCUUGACUUUGGGGUAACUUCAGGAAACUGGGGCUAAUACCGGAUAGGAGCUCCUGCUGCAUGGUGGGGGUUGGAAAGUUUCGGCGGUUGGGGAUGGACUCGCGGCUGAUCAGCUUGUUGGUGGGGUAGUGGCUUACCAAGGCUUUGACGGGUAGCCCGCCUGAGAGGGUGACCGGCCACAUUGGGACUGCGAUACGGCCCAGACUCCUACGGGAGGCAGCAGUGGGGAAUAUUGCACAAUGGGCGGAAGCCUGAUGCAGCAACGUCGCGGUCGGGAUGACGGCCUUCGGGUUGUGAACCGCUUUCGCCUGUGACGAAGCGUGAGUGACGGUAAUGGGUAAAGAAGCACCGGCUAACUACGUG